CUACGGGCGGCUGCAGUGGGGAAUAUUGCACAAUGGGGGAAACCCUGAUGCAGCAACGCCGCGUGGAGGAUGACGCAUUUCGGUGUGUAAACUCCUUUUAUAUAGGAAGAUAAUGACGGUACUAUAUGAAUAAGCACCGGCUAACUCCGUGCCAGCAGCCACGGUAAUACGGAGGGUGCAAGCGUUACUCGGAAUCACUGGGCGUAAAGCGCGCGCAGGCGGCCUUUUAAGUUGGAUGUGAAAGCCUAUGGCUUAACCAUAGAACUGCAUCCAAAACUAUCAGGCUAGGAGUCUGGGAGGGGAAGAUGGAAUUAGUUGUGUAGGGGUAAAAUCCGUAGAGAUAACUAGGAAUACCAAAAGCGAAGGCGAUCUUCUGGAACAGUACUGACGCUGAGGCGCGAAAGCGUGGGGAGCAAACAGGAUUAGAUACCCUUGUAGUC
rnacentral:rRNA from 1 species